rnacentral:snRNA from 1 species
AUUCUUCAAGCAUCAAUUCAGAUGCAUCUUCCUCUAACUUAAUAUGUUAAGGUAAAUUUCGGAUUUCUGCUUACUGCUUACGGUUGUGCUGACCCCUGCGAAUUCCCCAAAUGUGGGAAUCUCGACUGCAUAAUUUAUGGUAGUGGGGGACUGCGUUCGCGCUCUCCCCUG